CUCCGGGGGGCACCGCAGUGGGAAAUCUUGGACAAGGGGGGAAAGCGAAGCCUGAUCCAGCAAUGCCGCGUGUGUGAAGAAGGCCUUCGGGUUGUAAAGCACUUUUGUCCGGAAAGAAAUAGUCUGGGUUAAUACCUGGGGCUGAUGACGGUACCGGAAGAAUAAGCACCGGCUAACUACGUGCCAGCAGCCGCGGUAAUACUUAAGGGUGCAAGCGUUAAUCGGAAUUACUGGGCGUAAAGCGUGCGCAGGCGGUUUUGUAAGACCGAUGUGAAAUCCCCGGGCUCAACCUGGGAACUGCAUUUGUGACUGCAAGGCUAGAGUAUGGCAGAGGGGGGUAGAAUUCCACGUGUAGCAGUGAAAUGCGUAGAGAUGUGGAGGAAUACCGAUGGCGAAGGCAGCCCCCUGGGCCAAUACUGACGCUCAUGCACGAAAGCGUGGGGAGCAAACAGGAUUAGAUACCCUGGUAGUCCACGCCCUAAACGAUGUCAACUAGUUGUUGGGAUUUUUGGCCUUAUUAACGCUAGCUAACGCGUGAAGUUGACCGCCUGGGGAGUAC
rnacentral:rRNA from 1 species